rnacentral:lncRNA from 1 species
CGCCGUUCUCCGUUUCCUACUCUGCUUCGUCGCAACGAUCCCAGUCUCCUUCGCGUGGAGAUUCGUCCCGAGUCGACUCGGUAAACACAUCUACUCAGCUGCUUCUGGAGCCCUCCUCUCUUACCUCUCCUUUGGCUUCUCGUCGAAUCUUCACUUCCUCGUUCCCAUGACCAUUGGCUACGCUUCGAUGGCGAUAUAUAGACCAAUGUGUGGAUUCAUCACUUUCUUCCUCGGUUUCGCCUAUCUCAUUGGUUGUCAUGUGUUUUAUAUGAGUGGGGAUGCUUGGAAAGAAGGAGGCAUUGACUCUACUGGUAAACUCUUUUUGUAGAUUUAUGAUGGUGGAACCACAUUAUGCUUGUCGAUUGUUUCUUUUAGCUGAGUUUGAUUUGUAUGUUUUUAGGAGCUUUGAUGGUGUUGACGUUGAAAGUGAUAUCGUGUUCUAUAAACUACAACGAUGGGAUGUUGAAGGAAGAGACUCUCCGUGAGGCUCAGAGGAAGAACCGUUUGGUUCGGAUGCCUUCUCUCAUUGAGUACUUUGGUUACUGCCUUUGCUGCGGAAGCCACUUCGCUGGCCCUGUCUUCGAAAUGAAAGACUAUCUUGAAUGGACCGAAGAGAAAGGAGUAAGCUUUCGGUUCUCGAUCUUGAUUCAUCAAUUCUUGAUUUCUUUAUUUACGGAUUCUUGAUUCUUGAUUCUUGAUUCUUGAUUUACGAACUCUUUAUUUUUUCGGUUCUUGAUUCUUGGUUUAUUAGUUCUUGAUUUAUCAUUUUUGAUUCUUGAUUUAUCGGUUAUUGAUUAUUGAUUUGUUGGUUCUCGUUUGUUUGUUGUUUGCUUGAUUUGUUGGUUAGAUUUGGGCUGUUACUUCUGGGAAAGGGAAGAGACCAUCGCCUUACGGAGCAACACUUCGAGCUAUAUUACAAGCUGGGAUCUGUAUGGCUCUGUAUCUCUACUUAGUCCCUCAGUUCCCAUUAACCCGGUUCACUGAGCCAGUGUACCAUGAAUGGGGUUUCUGGAGAAGAUUCGGUUACCAAUACAUAGUUCCAUGGCGGCCUCGAUCGGCGUAUCGGUCGCCGUUCUCCGUUUCCUACUCUGCUUCGUCGCAACGAUCCCAGUCUCCUUCGCGUGGAGAUUCGUCCCGAGUCGACUCGGUAAACACAUCUACUCAGCUGCUUCUGGAGCCCUCCUCUCUUACCUCUCCUUUGGCUUCUCGUCGAAUCUUCACUUCCUCGUUCCCAUGACCAUUGGCUACGCUUCGAUGGCGAUAUAUAGACCAAUGUGUGGAUUCAUCACUUUCUUCCUCGGUUUCGCCUAUCUCAU